rnacentral:lncRNA from 1 species
AAAAUACUGGAGAGUAUAUUAGUCACUAUUGCCAAAUUCAACAGUAUCAUUGAGGGUAGAUGAGAGUGCAUCUUUGAAAGGGAGGAAAUAAUUUUUUACAGAUUUCCCUGCCUCUGUAGUUUCCGGCUUUUGAACUAAAAAUGAAAUAUAAUUAAAUUCCUAUCACAAUUUAUUUUCUCCUAAGUGAUCUAGAGGAAUAUGCAGAGUUAUAUUUUGAUAGUUGUCACUGAAGAAAGGAAAUGAACAUAUAAUGAGCAAUCUCUUCAUGCCAGGACUUUAUUUGGGUCAAUUCUUGAUGAGGACUCUACUUGGAUGUGUUAUUGGACUUGGGGGAAAGUAGCAGCCUCAUCAUGGAUGGCACCACUGUAAACUCUGCCCACUGGAGUUCCUUCUUCGGCUUUUGAUAAACUUCAGCAUUAAGAGUUCUAUUCAGAACUCACAUCCAUCUCUGGAUGUGUUUCUCAAGUCUGACCCAAGAACCCUCCACAAGAGAAUCAACAAGGAUGACUCUAUAAAGAAGAGAUUCCUGACCCUUCUGGAAAGGGAUUAUGAUAUGGUAAGUCUUGUGUGGCAUCCAGGAAUCUGCAUUUAACCAAUUUCCCAAGAGGUCGUGAUCAAAAUGAAAAUGGAAAACACUGUUCUAGAAAUAUCUUUAACUUUCCCCAAAAUUAGCAGUGUCUAUCAAUUAUA